GGGGACGCGGGCGGCAGAAAGUGGAGCUGGGCUGGUGUGCGCGCGCGGCCGGAGUCUGUGGAGCUGGAAAUUCACCGGUCCAGGAAGACGUCUUUCCCGCGUCCCAGCACCUCGGGCCACGCUCCUUCGUGAGAGCGCCCUCUCCAAGGAGGCCAGCCCUGGAUAUUUCACCCAAAAUAUUUAUUUUUUCUUUUUUUCUAGGCUCCUGUUUUCCUAAUAGCAUGAACAGACCCCCCGUCAGCUCCUACCCCUUGGUCUCUGACCUGUUCCUCCUCCGAGGUGACCUCUAUCCUGAAUUUUGAAAACAUAUUAGUAUUGCCUAUUUCUGGACUUUAUGCAGAUGAAGUCAUUGGUUCUCCCUCUGUCACCCAGAGCUGGAGUGCGGUGGCAUAAUCACAGCUAAUUGCAGCCUCAACAUUCCAGGCCCAAGGAUCCUCCCUUCAGCCUUCCAGGUAGCUGGGACCACAGAGUCGGGGUCUCCCUAUGUUUCCCAGGCUGGCCUCGAACUCCUGACCUCAAGUGAUCCUCCCACCUCAGCCUCCCAGAGUGCUGGGAUUAAAGACGUGAGCCACGGCACCUGGCCUGAAUUUUCCUCAAAUUCAAAAAAUGCUGAUGAAGGUUUGGCUAAAAUCUUUGGUGAGUUACCCCACUCCCUGUGGAACCUCAGGCUGGAUUUGAAGAGUUGCGUGCAUGGUCC
rnacentral:sRNA from 1 species